UCCAAACCCAUCCCUCCCCUCCCUGCUGGCUUAGGGACCGCUGCCCCAAUACCCGGGGGCCUAUGGAAGCGCCUCUUGGGUGCUACUCAGGGAGGUGGCCAUCCCGUCCACUUAACCCAGAAACUCAGAAAACCCAAAUGGAGCUCUCAGGCCACGCCAUCUGGCAAGCAAAGAAUGACCUGGGUAGACAGAUCCCCAAUGUCCCUCCCCGCGGAGAUACACGGACCCCAUUGCCCUCAAAAAGAGGUAACACCCUGGGACCCCUCCCCCGAGGAUGUGCGGCUCCUCGCAGAAAACGCAGACCCCACCCAAGUCCUGUCUUGACGCCCUCGGUUCCCGUCUGUGUCUCAAGGCGUUCCAGCGCGGCUCCCCAUACCCCAAAGAUGGACCCUCAAUUCUUCCGCAAGGCAUUCGCGGCCCCUGCUCAUCUCAGCCCCACCACUCUGGACGGCCCACUUCCCUUCGGCUGCUCCACGUGUCCCUACAAUCCGAGCCCACGGACCAAGCCUCCUUGGAGUGUCCAGCUGCCCAAAGCGGCCACCGCUACGGCUAUGAAAUAGAGGCAGCAUCGCACUCUUGAUAGAAAUGAGAAAAUUGAGACCCAGAUCGGGUAGAGGUCUUGUUUGGUGGCGAGGCCAGAAUGCCAAGCCCAAGGGCAGCCGCACAGCUUUCCCCCAGCCCCGCACCCUCCCCGGAAGGGACAAGCACCUCUAAUGCCCAAACCAGGGCCGGCCAUCAAGGCCCACCGUCCCCUGUUGCCCAGUCCAAACUCCCAGUCCAGAAAGUGGAACCCUAGGAGGGGACGGAGUGAAAAUAUACAGCCAGGCCCACCAGGCUCCCGGUUCCCCUCGCCGCCCCGGGGACUGCGCUAGGAGGGGCGUCGGUGUAGCCGAAGCGCUCCAACUACGCGCACCUUCCCGAAUCGCCCGCCAGGUAGGGGUGAACAAACACGCCGGGGAAAUACAGCAGUGUGGACCCGAGCCCCUCGAGGGUCCUCCAUACUAUAAAGUUCCCCCGCCCAGACUCAGGCCCCAACCCACGCUCCUAGCCUCGCCCUCCCCCUCGUUAAAAUACAGAGAACGCAGAGAAAACGUGCCGGGCUCCCCCCAUCCUGGCCCCACGCCAGGUGCUCUGCCGACCUCUGGGGAGAAUCCGCGCGGCCACCCCGGCGGCGGCGACGCGGUUCCUCCUCCAUUUUCACAGAUAAGGAAACUGAGGCUGGGGGAGGGGGAGGACCCAGAACCCCAGAGCCGGAUGCUCCAACCACGGUGCCCACCGCCCAGACCAGAACGCA
rnacentral:lncRNA from 1 species